GGUGUUCUUUCCUCUGGCUACAAUUAGCUUCCACAUUGCAGGGGACCUUGGGGGUUGGGGGGUGAGGAGAAAGAAGAGAGUUUUCCAAAGCAAGUUAAUCACAAUGGAUCAUGGCCAUGGUAUGAAGAGGAAAUGGAUAUCAUUUUGGCAAGACCAUCCUCGAGGAUAUGGCCUAUACUACACUGCUUUCUAGGCCUGAUCACCAGCCCUGGACUAAGCAGAACUACUCUCAGUUUUCUACCUGCCAGGUCUCCAGCAAGAUUUGAAAAUAGCUAACAUCAAACUUUCCAAGACUUCUUUCCUCCAGACUAAAAAUGUCUAGUUCUUUCAAUCAAUCCUUAUGUAUUUUGCUUUCUCCUAGUGGUCUUCCUCGAGAUAAUUUCUAGUUUGCCAAUGUCCUUCCUAAAAUGUAUCUCUAAGACUAAAUACAAUAUUCUGUCUUAGGGGGAAAGAAAUGCUAUGUUGACUGAAAAGUCUAUAUCAUCACUUUAUUUGUAGUAGCAAAGAACUAGAAAUAAAUCCAAUGUCCAUCAAUUGGGAAAUGGCUAA
rnacentral:lncRNA from 1 species